UAUGCUCAGUACCGUAUUGCUCUUCUAAAUUCUGAACCAGCUUGUUCGCAGUGUCUGCAGGAGAAAGGACACGCUUAGUAGUACCAAAAAUGGGGAUAAAUGUUGAAAUCAGAGGAACCCUUGACAAAAUCAUCCAUAGUUUGUGCAACCCACUGAAUAGCAAAGAAAAAACAGAUUGAAAGACGCCGAAACUUAAUCCAAGCUUUGAAUUUCUAUCGACUCUUGACGAUUCUCCAGUUAAACUCUCGAUCGCUUCCUAAUCAUAAAACAGUUAGCAAAAUGGCUCAGUCCCAACAUUCACCGAAAAUUCGAUUAGAAAAAUAAACGACAACCAGAGGAUUCCAUGAAUGUUCAGUUGCAAAUAACAACUUUCUUGGAAUUUUUCAAUCAAAGCAAUUGAUCACUAUCGAAUACUGAAAAUGAAUGCUUGCCGUGUCACAUACCUGAACGUCCCAAUUAAAUGAUUCCAAAACAGAUUGAGCAGUAUCAGCAGGAACAUCAAGAGAGUUCCUUAAUUCGUCUAUUGCUUCUUGUUUUCGAGACCCUGACAUGGUAGGUGUUGUUGGUUAAUGGACGGAGUAGUAUCC